rnacentral:lncRNA from 1 species
AGAUUUGAAUUGUAUUUACUUGCUCUGACAUUGUACUUUUCGGCUUGGAACACUGAACAUAAUGUAAGAAAAGAUAACGACCUGAAAUAGAUUAAGACUUGCAGUCGGGCUAUGUUGAGGACCCUGCCAAUGGGGGCUAAUACAUUGGUACCACAAGAAGAAUAGUCGGUGAUAUGACCCUGCCACAGGAAACAUGUGGUCAUAGUUCCUGGUUGUUGAGUUGAAUCUAAUAAAUUGAAAGAAAUUAAGAUAUGAACGGUAUUUGAUUUUGACAUUGCAUGUUUUCAUGACUGAAAUAUGAAAUAGAGAACUAAUUGAACUUUGACCUGGCUAUGUUGAGGACCCCGCCAAUGGGGGCAGAUACGUUGGCAAUUGACUGUCCUGAAGGACUCACCGCAAGAAGAUUAGCCGGUGUUGAUGACCCUGCCACAGGGAACAUGUGGUCAUAGUCCAGGAUCGACAAGAUAAAUUGAAUAUGUGAAAGAAUCUUGAAACCGCGAAAAGAAUCUUUUGAAUUUAAGAAAUAUAUGACUUAUACUUUGGAGCUGCAUAUUUAUUUAUUUUUCA